AACAUCGCGCACCUGCGGGAACCUGCGGAAGGAUCAUUACAGAGUGUAAAAACUCCCAAAACCCAUGUGAACAUACCUUUUUGUUGCUUCGGCGGGAUCGCCCCGGGCGCCUUGUGUGCCCCGGAGUCAGGCGCCCGCCGGGGGACCCAAACUCUUGUUUUUAACGAGUAUCUUCUGAGUAACGUUUUUAAAUAAAUAAAAACUUUUAACAACGGAUCU
rnacentral:misc_RNA from 1 species